AUUGAACGCUGGCGGCAUGCCUUACACAUGCAAGCCGAACGGUAACAGGUUAAGCUGACGAGUGGCGAACGGGUGAGUAAUGUAUCGGAACGUGCCCAGUCGUGGGGGAUAACUGCUCGAAAGAGCAGCUAAUACCGCAUACGACCUGAGGGUGAAAGCGGGGGAUCGCAAGACCUCGCGCAAUUGGAGCGGCCGAUAUCAGAUUAGGUAGUUGGUGAGGUAAAGGCUCACCAAGCCGACGAUCUGUAGCUGGUCUGAGAGGACGACCAGCCACACUGGGAGUGAGACGCGGCCCAGAAUCCUACGGGAGGCAGCAGUGGGGAAUUGUGGACAAUGGGCGCAAGCCUGAUCCAGCCAUGCCGCGUGCGGGAAGAAGGCCUUCGGGUUGUAAACCGCUUUUGUCAGGGAAGAAAAGGUUCUGGCUAAUACCUGGGACUCAUGACGGUACCUGAAGAAUAAGCACCGGCUAACUACGUGCCAGCAGCCGCCGUAACAC
rnacentral:rRNA from 1 species